rnacentral:rRNA from 1 species
GACGAACGCUGGCGGCGUGCUUAACACAUGCAAGUCGAACGGAAAGGCCCUGCCUUUGUGGGGUGCUCGGGUGGCGAACGGGACAGUAACACGAGAGUAACCUACCCUUCACUUUGGGAUAACUUCAGGAAACUAAGGCUAAUCUAAGACGGGAGCUCCUGCUGCAUGGGGGGGGUUGGAAAGUUUCGGCGGUUGGGGAUGGAUUCGCGGCUUAUCAGCUUGUUGGUGGGGUAGUGGCUGACCAAGGCUUUGACGGGUAGCCGGCCUGAGAGGGUGAGCGGCCACGUUGGGACUGAGACACGGCCCAGACGCGUAGGGUAGGCAGCAGUGGGGAAUAUUGUACAAUGGGCGGGAGCCGGAUGCAACGGCGCCGCGUGCGGGAUGACGGUCUUUGGGGAGUAAACCGCUUCCGCCUGGUACGAAGCUGGAGUGACGGUAACGGGAAAAGAAGCACCGGCUAACUACGUG